rnacentral:lncRNA from 1 species
GAGUACAAUGAGAAUCUAGACCAACUAAUUUACAAAAUGUACCAUCUCAAAGGUGCAGAAUCUCAUAAAAUAAUUUACAGCGAAUUUGUUAGUUGUUUUAUCCAUGUAGAAAUACCAUGAUAAGUAAACAGUGAUUUCUACUCUCACCACAUAUAAGAUCACAAUUUUUUACUGGCAAAGGAUUGAUAACAUCAGUUAUUAAAAUACUAUAAAUAAGCAGCUACCACAAACGGACCUUUAAGGCAGAACGCAUAAGCUCGUCAACAUAAUCAAUAGUAGCACAUUUCACAAAGUCAAAUGAAAUAUUAUCAACCACUAAUAUAACUCCAUCCUGUUCAAAGAUCCUGGACCAACAAAGCAUCAAAAUUUUCUUUUGUUGUGAGUAGUGAUGUAUUCAUGUAACGAAAUGAUACAACACAAAAGGCCCCCACAAAUUACUACAGAUUGUUAAGUUAACAUUCAGAUAAGUUACCAACUCCAUAUCACAAAUCAUAUUCCUCAGAAUCCUUUGGGCCGACUCAACAAAUAAAAAUAUAGCUCAGAAAGAUGGAACUGGAAAUAGAAAUAGAAUCAUACCGUCAGCAGAUGGUUGAGAGGCACUUUGAAUUCCUCGAUGGCGAAUUUCGGAACUAAAAUAUAGAGAAAGAAAAGGAAUUAAACCACUAACAAUUCAAUAAAGCUACUUGUUUCUUCAUAUUUCAUUACUUUUGUUUUUCAAAUAACCAACAAUUGUUCACCAUACAAUGAACAAAGAAAUAUUUUUAUGAACCAUACCAUCGAAUUACUUAUUGAAACUUCAUUCUAUCUAAUAUACGGAAUUUUCAUUUCCUCUACUGAUACUAUUUUCACUAUUUGUUUCUCCAUUUUAAUAUUGAAACUGAAAACUGUGAUUUAUGACCUUCAAUCCAUUACAGCACGCUGAAUAUAUUAUCUCUAUUUAAUAUCAACAGUGAAAACUUCAAUGCAUGACUUUCAAAGCCAAUUAAUCAUUCGAACUAAUGAUUUUAUAGCUUAUAAAGUUUCCAUUGUUAUCGAUCAGUAAAUCUUUCCAAAAUUUGAUAUUUCUAAUUGAGCACUAAUCAUAGUAAAAUCAAAUGUAAUAUUUCCUAACAUAAUAACUUUCCAUUGUUAAACUUAAUCCCUAAAAAUUGAUUGAUCAUUGAGGGAAAGGUAAAUCUUUCCGAAAUUCAGCGCUACUCAUAAUCAAGUGUAAUCUUUCUUAAUAGAAUACUUACCAUGGAGAAUACCGGCGGCGAAUCAACGAAAGUGCAACGAAAUUGCGGUUGGGCAGCCUGGGGCUUGGAACGGGCCAUCGGCGACGGGGGUGGGGAUCGAUUUGGGGACGAAAUUAGGGCGUGGGUAGCCGAGCUUCGCCGUCAGCUGUCUCCGAUGGCUAGACUUCGGGUGAUGAAUGAGCCCAUCCAUGAAGACACGGUCGUUUGGGGCGGCAGUUGAGAGAAGGAGCUGGCGGUGGGAGAGAGACCGAUGAGUAGGGUUUCAGGUUUAAACAUUUGAAAAAUAACACGAAAGUGUGUACAGAAAGGGGCGGCGGCACUGACUUGGGGCCGGACUACGGAAAAUUGAAGCGAGGGAGGUCGAGUCUGGUGUUAAAAUGGGGAAAGAAUAAGCGGGCGGGGUGGGACGGCGAGGCAGAUCGCGGCGGUGGGAGGAGCGGGGCGCGGUGGGGGUGGGGAGAAUCGGAUGUGAGAGA